CGUGGCGGCGGCGGGAGGCGCCGGCCAUGGCGCCGCUGGCCGGGAAUAGGGAAUAGCGCCCGCUCCUGUCCUGUGCUGCCCUCAGAACGUGCCCGUGACAAACCACCGCACCUCCGAGCCGGCUGAUCGCUGCUUGGCUCUAGGUUGUAGCUUGCUAUGAGCAGGUACUGUCCCCCCAUUCCCAUGGGAGGCUUGAAGAUGCAGGAAUUGAACAGAGCUUGGUAUGAGACAUCACGGAACUGGAAGAUCAAUUUUGCUUAGAAAGAAGCAACGACUUUGUGUCCACAUUAUGAUUUUCUCAUAUGCUUCACUCACAUCUAAGUUCAAAACACAUUUGGACAACACUCGGGCACAUGGUGUGAUUGUUGUGGUGUCCUUUGCAGGGACUCGAUGGUCCUGAUGGUCCCUUCCAGCUCAAGGAUAUUCUAUUUUCCUAUAAUUUUCUCACACUUGAUAGCUCCAAGAUCUGCAUGCAAACGGCAGGGCCAGGAGGGCUUGUUGCCAGAGAACAUUCCCAGUCCAGAUCUCACUACUGCUGUUCAUACCUCACUUUAGGCUAGUGAUAACUGCUCCCUGGGCGGGUCUAUACUGAUCAGCAGUUAAAUUAAUGUAAUCGGUUGCAUCCCACCAACUCUUGGUUACUUCAUCUGCUAUUUAUCUUAGGCAACGUUGUUCCGCAAUUUGUUUUCUUAUUUUGGGUAUCUCCAUGGCUACAUUCAGCCUCCCUCUUGUGACAGCAGGGGCAGGGGGUGGCGUUUACAGGAUACUCUGACCUAGCUGCCAUCCUGUUCCCAGAGCACAGGCCUUCUGUUUACACUGCACAGCCCUCAGUGUUUACCAGCUUUACUGCUCUCAGCUGUGUUCUAGGUCACUUUUUUAACCCUUGCCUUACUGCUUUUAUGUUGGUUUCACAUAUACAUUGCUGUUCCUGUUUUGUUCACAAUGAUCAUAAUUGCUCUGUUGCAGUCUGUGCAUCAGCAAAGAGCUAACGCUGCAGAGGUUCAGUGCACAACAGCGGGUCUCCUUUCACACAGCAGAUUAAUCAUUAGGCCCUUGUUUUGCUUCAAAAUACAUCACUUAAAAUCUGACCCUACUCAGGGAGGUCUUGCUUGUUACUUGUGAAGGAGAGCUGCUAUCCCACAGAUCCUAGCAAUAUGUACAAUUUAAUGAGAACAUGCAGAAAACAUGUUUUUAAUUAAAUUUUUUGUAAUGGUAUUAAAUGCAAUUUAUCCUUGGCUGUGUUUGUCAUUUAACUCUGCAACGUUAGUUUAGGUGUGUCUCACUGGCUGCAAUGCCUGUGGAAAAAUCCAGCUGAAAGAAGUGGGAGGGGUUGCUUCUUGUGCUGGCACCCUGAGCAGACAUGAGGUUAUGCCAGCACUGAUAGUGCAUCAGGAACAUGUAUUCCACUACAGCCUGAGCUCACUGGAGAGAGUGUAACACCUCUCCCUUCCCUCAAGACAGCAUGAGCUGUUGUACAGCUAUGUGGAAAACUGCUUCAUGGAGUGGAUCUAGGCAAACAUUCAUCACCUUUUAGGACUUUUUGCUGUUGUCAGAAACACACACUUGGGUCAUCUUUUGUUUUAAGGAAAAGCAAAGACAAUCUCAAGACAAAUGGACUGUCUGGACAAGAGCCACCAGGAGUGAAGCCAGGACUGAGCUGGGGAAAGGUAAUUCUGGCAGUGGGAGACCUUGACCACCAACUCAUUGACCAUCUACCCAAAACGAACCCCAGACUCAGAUGGAAGGAAGAACUGCACCUACAGACUGAUUAGCAUGAGAAGCGAUAUCUAUAGCUAACAAAUACGGGGUUGAAGUCGAAUUAACAAAUGACUUAUGUAAUUUGUAACCAAUAAAUGUUGAUGUCGUUGUUAAAA